UACGUAGGGGGCAAGCGUUGUCCGGAAUCAUUGGGCGUAAAGAGCGUGUAGGCGGCCAGAUAAGUCCGCUGUGAAAACUCGAGGCUCAACUUCGAGCUGUCGGUGGAAACUAUUUGGCUAGGAGUCCGGAAGAGGAGAGUGGAAUUCCUGGUGUAGCGGUGAAAUGCGCAGAUAUCAGGAGGAACACCAAUGGCGAAGGCAGCACUCUGGGACGUGACUGACGCUGAGACGCGAAAGCGUGGGGAGCAAACAGG
rnacentral:rRNA from 1 species